rnacentral:rRNA from 1 species
GACGAACGCUGGCGGCGUGCUUAACACAUGCAAGUGGAGCGACGAACCAGGCUUCGGCCUGGGGCAAAGCCGCGAACGGGUGAGUAACACGUGGGUAACCUGCCUCGAUGACCGGGACAACCCGAGGAAACUCGGGCUAAUACCGGAUGUGGCCACAUCACAUCAGUGUGUGACUAAAGAUAGCUUCGGCCUUCGCAUCGAGAUGGGCCCGCGGCGCAUUAGCUGUUGGCGGGUAAGGCCACCAAGGCGACGAUCCGUAGCUGGUCUCGAGAGGAUGAUCAGCCACACUGGAACUGAGACACGGUCCAGACUCCUACGGAGGCAGCAGUGGGGAAUUUUGGACAAUGGGCGCAAGCCUGAUCCAGCCAUGCCGCGUGCGGAAGAAGGCCUCGGU